AAAGCUCUUAGAAGGCUGCUGGCCUGUGGAAGAACUCGGUGAGUGCCGAUUAUGAUUACGUGGCUGUCUUUCCCUCCCUCAAGGUGUUCAGGUACCAGGGAAGGAGAGGGGCGCCCGGGGGGGCUCAGUCGGUUGAGCGUCCGACCUCGGCUCAGGUCAUGAUCUCACAGCUCGUGGGUUCGAGCCCCGUGUUGGGCUCUGUGCCGACAGCUUGGAGCCUGGAGCCUGCUUCCGAUUCUGUGUCUCCCUCUCUCUCUGCCCCUCCCCUGCUCAUGCUCUGUCUGUCUCUGUCUCUCUCUCUCUCUCUCUCUCUCUCUGUCAAAAAUAAAUAAACAUUAAAAAAGAAAAAUAGUACCAGGGGCGGACCCAGAGUUGGGGCUCUUUAGUGCCACGCCAGGGAGAAGGAAGGAAAGUAACACCGCAGGCUGGACCCUUGCACACCACCCCCUCUUUACUUUACUUUUAAUUACUUUCUUAAUUUGUGGUAAAUCAUACAUAAAAUUCACCGUAACCGUUUUCGGUAUGCAGUUUGGUGAUCAGCACCGUCCACUUCUAGACCACUUCUUGCCGAACCGAAAUUCUGUCUCACUUAACACCACCUCUCCUUCCCCCUCCUCCAGCCCCUGGGGCCCCCCUGGCUCCGGUCUGUCUCUGUGAAUGUGACUCCUCCAGGGGCCUCAGGUGAAUGUCGUCCUGCACGACUGAUCCUUUUGUGCCCGGCUGACUUCACUGAGCGUCAUGUCCUCAAGAUGCAUCCGUAUGGUAGCAGGUGUCAGGAUUUUGUCCCUUUUCAAGACUGAGUAAUAUUCCAUCGCACGGAGAGACGCCAUUUUGUUUAUCCACUCACCUGGCGAUGGACGCCUGGGUUGUCCCCAUCUUUUGGCGAUUGUGGGUCCUGCUGUUGUGAACGUGGGUGUGUACAAAGCUCUUCGAGACCCUGCUCUCACUUUUUUUGGGGGGAGGGGGGCGUAUAUACCCAGAAGUGGGAUUGCUGGAUUAUGUGAUCCCGUCUGUUUUUGUUAGUUUACAAUUGCAGAGAGUGAGGCUACCCAGAAGAGCUCCCGAGUCCGCCCUGGGACCCCAGCCCCCCACCCCCGCUCCAGUCCCUGUGCACCUGUUCCCUGGCCACUGGAAGGCCCUCUGUGAAGGGGACGCCAAACAAGCAUCAUUGCUCACGUCAUGGGAAGGGGGCUCUGGGCCAGAACGACAGUGGCCACUCACCGACAGCCGGGACUGAGCGUGGCCACGUCCCCGGUACUGGGAACACAGUUGCCAAUGGCCAGACGAAGUCUCCCAAGUAGAGACUAGCAGCAGAUUCCACAAAGCAGUAAGGCAGCCGUAGGGAGCACAGGGCUGCAGCUCUGGGUCGCCAGAGGUAGGAGAUAGGUGCCCCCUGUGCUCAGCGGCCACCUCAGCUUCGGCUGGACCUCGGGAGUCCCUGUCCCUGGCAGGGGAGGCCUGCGUUGUUCUCCUUGGCUCAGAUGAGGAGGUCCAGCAGAGGGCCUUCUGUGGCAGUGCCCUCUGUCCCCGGCGCCUGCUCAUCCCCCUGGGAGGGGGGGAGCGGAACUGCCUUGGUGGAGAUGUGGGCUCUGCUGUCCUCUCACUCGGCACCGGCCGAGCCCGAGUCCCUGGGACAGCAGCCCCCUCCCAAAUCAGAGAGAGUGCCAUGUAAAGGGCAGGGUAGCUGGUGCAGACUCUGGGGCGUUCCUGAACGUAGCAGGAAUGAGAGCAUGGAGUGGACGAGACGGGGCCAGGUCAGAUCCGAGACCCCAGAUCCGGAGGGGCUCAUCCGGCCCUAGAGCAAGGCCCGCCUCCAGGAGCCGGGACACCUGCCCAAAGGCCCUGCAAUUUCCCUGUAGUAACCGAAAGGCGCCCUCACUUCCCAGGGAACCCAGAUGCAGACAUCUGUAUUAUUAGCAUAUUGGCACGUGGUUCCAAGUAUUCCCCCCUCCGUGUAGCCUCGCACUCUGUCCCCUGCGGUUGGGGGCCUCCUGCGGUCAAUGAAUCGGGUUGGAAUGAAGAGUGUCACUUGGGCUGGGGCACUGCAGACCCUCCGGCUCAUUCUCUCUCUCUCUCUUCCCCGUGGCCCAGCAACAGGGUCCCUGACCGGCUCCUGCCGACCUGGGGCACGAUGUCUGGCAAGGGAACAAGAAAGGAAACCCAUUGUCCCAGCCCCUGGUACCUCACGGCUGUUUGCAGGCUAUUGGAGCACUGCCUGGAGCACCGCCCGGCGAUGCCUCCCCCCUCCCCCCCCCCCCCCCCCCCCCCCCCCCCCCCGCCGCGGAGGGCCAGCCUGCCUUCCUGGGUCCUGCCCUCUGGUUCUCUGGCUUCUGUUUCCUCUUUGAGGUAACCAGCACCCUUUCAAUAACUCCCUUUGCUGCUUGACUUGACCCCUGUUGGCCUUCCCUGGGCACAGGGCAUCCUUGCCUGGCGGAGGAAGCUGUGCCAGCCGUCGCCAGCCCACACUGCACUGGGAUGUGGGCCAGGCAGCCGGGAGGGGUAGGGGGCUGGGUUGCAAAGGCAGAUGAGGGCCAUCGGAGAAGGGGUGAUGUGCUUGUACGGUUGUGUGUGUGUGUAGGAAUGACAGGGUUUUGGGGUGGUGGUGGGAUGGUCCAGAGCCAAUGGCCAAGAAAGAAUUCUGGAAGACAUCUUUGGUGCAGAAGGUGAUUUUAUUAAAGCAUGGAGACAGGACCCGUGGGCAGAAAGAGCUGCACUGGGGUUGUGAUGGGUGACAGGUUAUAUCCCCUCAGGUUGGGAGGGAGGCAGGGACAGCGUAAGUCUCUAAGGAAUGUUAGAAGCAAGGUUUCCAGGACCUUGAGGGGCUAGCUGUUGCUAGGAAAACUCAAUUUAUUACCAUUUAGUAAAACCUCCGUCAUGAGACCCUUCAGAUGUGUAUGGGGGUGGGGGCGGGUGGUGCAUAAGCUUGGAGUGGGAUUGCCAGCAUACAUCUUGGGGCUGUUGAGAUAAAGGAAGUUGACUUACAGGGUCCUCGAGGUUGGCAUAAUGUUAAGCCAAGAUUCCCUUUUGCCCCCAGCAGAGUGUCACCAUCGAGGCAGCCGAGCUCCUAGAGGGCGGUCACUCUGCUCGUUUCAAGGACUCAUCAAUGGGCUGCAGGCAGUAAGGGAAUUUAGUUUUUCAUUUGCCUUAGUUUCCCACAUCACCAUGGCGAGCACUUAGACCCCUUUCCUUUGUUGUCUGGCAGCCGGGAGUGUCCGAGGAACGUCACACAGACCCCACCUGGGGCGGGGGGGGGCAGGUGCUGUUAGCCUGUACUCUGCCCGCAACUUGCCCCACGCUCCCCGUCAGGAAGAGAUGUGUGUGCGUGUGAACGUGCACUCGGGCAUGCGUGUUGGAACAUUAAAGGAACGUUCCCACCUCUAGAGGCCCCGUCGCUAAUCCCCCGAGCCCGGGUCCCAAUACCAGCUGGGCAUCCCUGCUCAAAUCAGUCUGAAGGCCGGUGAGCACGUCUGAAACUUAGUGAUGACAGCACCCACAGGGGUGCGGGGAGAUGGCAGGAGAGGAGGUGAAAAAAGCACUUGGCACGGUAUCUGGACAUAAUAGAUUCUCAAUUCGCCGUCCAUCCGGCCAACCCCGCUGUCUGCUCAGCCCUCGCCCCACCUGCCCACUUCCGCCCCUCGCCUCCGUGGGGGGCUCGCCGGCUCUGCCCGCACUGCCCCGGGCCCUGCUGUUUGUCCACAGAGCUGAGCCCCAGCCGCGGGCUGGGCUCUCCCGUCUGCGGCAUCUAGAAUUCCUGUGGUUGGGAUCCCAACUCCUCUUUAUUGUUUUUAAAGUGUUUUGCUGCUGGGAAGCCUCAAGCCUCUCCACAGAGGGACAUAAAUAAGGGUAAUAACGUGGCCACUAGGAAGCCGCCCAGGGUGUGUCUGCCCUGGAGCACCCCCGCCGGCUGCAAGCAAGCCCCUGCGGGGGAGCGCAGGGGGAGGAGGGAUGAACGGCUCUCACUUGCCGUUUCUGGGUCAGUUACCUCUUAUUCUCUGAGCUGCCAGCAGAGUGGGGGGUGGGCACAGGCUCUGUGCCGCUGGCCAGGGCAGCACGGGCGGGUGUGGGGCAGGCUGUCCUCCCGGAACCGAGCGCAGGAACUAACCAUGGUGACACGGGCCAGAGGGGGACACCUCCACUGCCCUCCCCAGGCCACAUGUGGAGAGUGCAGGUGGGGACGUACAGAUUAGAACCCAGAGCCGGGGUGGGGAGGCAGUGAACCCUGGUGGUCAUGGGCCCGGACUUUGGAGCCAGGUCAACCUUGGUGCAAGCCCGGGCCCCACGUGGUGCAAUGUCUGUGCCCUUGGGCGGGUCCCACCUGCUCCCUGAGCCUUGGUCUUUUGCGUGUAGAGUCAAGACGGUGAUGGCCUCCACUCCCGGGAGCUGGGCCCCAGUGUCACCCUUGUGAUGCACAGCCAGGUCCUGGCCUGGAUUGUCCCAGGCAGGCAGGCGGUCUGGGGUGAGCGAGGCCUGGCUGCCUGUGGGGUUUCCCCAUCCCCCACCCAACACAGACUAGAUGCCAGAUACCAGGUUCACCCGGGCAGUUGUUGGGGGGUUGACCUUAUCUCAGGUCAAAGGUGAGGGGCGCCUGGGUGGCUCAGUUGGUGAAGCGUCUGACUCUUGAUUUCGGCUCAGGUCGUGAUCUCGUGGGUGUGGGUUCAAGCCCCAUGGCGGGAUUCUCUUGGCGUUCUCUCUCUCUCCCUCUCUCUCUCUCUGGCCCUCCUUCACUCGUGUGCUGUCUCUCCCUCUCUCGAAAAUAAUAAAUAAACUUAAAAAAACCAAGGUGGGACUGAACACUGGCUGGUGGCCAAGCCCCACUGGAGGGAGCCCUGCAGGGUGGGGGUGCUGGCUUCAUUCGGGGGCGUUUGCUCGGGGGCCUGGAAUCCAACUGAACUAAUUAGACCUGGCAGGCUUGAGCCUGGGAAGCCUCGGAGGACCCCAGGCUGCUUAACUUCUCAAUUUUCAUCUCUGACAGUUGAGGGUUUUCACCGCCCACCAACCCUGGGCCUCUGUCUUCUUUCCUUUAAAAUUUGUGACAGCGCCGUUUUCCCUUUUUUGCCUUUUAUACUUAGUAACACUUUUUUUUAAACCCCAAAAUAUCCAUGCCCGUGAGAAACAAUUCAGACUCUACAGAUAUUUACCAAAUGUGACCGUGUGGCCCAAAGACACAGUGGCGCCCCUUGUGUGUUUAGGGAGCUUCUGAGCUGGCACAUGGGGAGGGCAGGGGCGAGGUGGGGCUGGAAGUCUCUCCCCACAAAGCUAAAAGGGGCCAAAAGGUGGCUUCGGAGGAAAGGGGAAGCCACCGGGACACAGGAGGCAGGGGAUGACAUCACGUAGGGGCCUGAGGGCCGCACCAGGACGCUGGGGACGGGGCGGGGGGGGGCCUGGAGGCUGGUCUCCCGUGUGAGAGCCAGGCCAGGCUGAGCUGGGUGACGUCCCUACGUCUGUGGCUUCCCGAGGGCGAGCAGGACAUAGGGGCAGGGCGCAGAGGGUGGGGGCAGGGGCAGCCAAGUAGGUCCCCAGAACAGGCAAGUGUCUGUGCCGCCUCACCCCUGCAGGGAAGCGGAAAGGCGGCACCCUCCUUCCCUUCCUCGCCCACCUGCUCUCCACGGAAGAGCCGGCGCCCCAGGGUUAGCGCACCAGAGUGGGAUGCGGGCCCGGAGCGGCUCCGACCCGGCGACCUUCCCCGCGGCCCUGACGCUCCCUUGACAGCAUGUGUUGUAAUUGGGUUUUGCACGGAGCCUCUGGCACUGGCCUGGUUGUCCUGCCCCCCCUUCCUCUGCCCUGAGUGUCCAUCCCUGAUGUUCUUUGAACCCCAGGCAUCGAGCCUCCUUCUCUCUCAAUCUCGUCCUCCGCCCUGAUUCUACCCGACAAGGUCAGGCUGGCACCGGGGCCUGGCAUGGUGCACGCUUCUCAAGGGUGCUCCGUGUGGGCCGUUUCCGGGCCCCCACCCCUUGAAUAAGAAGGGGAGCCCCGGGUCUGCACCCUGGAGAGUAACAGGCCACGGCUGCCGUCCCAGAGGCGUCGGAGGCUGCUGGGCGAUGCCCCCCUGUUAGGGACCUGCUCUCUGAUGCGUCUGUGAUGUGUGUGAAGAGGAACGGAAGGGGUUCUGGGAACGGACUCCUCGUCUGCAAAUGGCAGCAGUAACACACGUGGGCGGACCGUCCGUGGAGGCUGGUGGACAUCACGUGUCUAGCACAGGGCCCGGCACAAAUGGCACCAGCCUCCCCNCCCCCCCCCCCCCCCCCCCCCCCCCCCCGCCUCCCUCAUUGCUUCCCUAUCUACCGAACGGAGGGGCUGGAUGUCCCAGUGAGAACACCCUGCCCCCAGGGACCGUGUGCCCCCUCUUGGUUACUGUAGGGGACCUGCUGCUCUGUGCUGGCGUGGGGCCAGCACCUGGCGGGAGCAUCUGCUAUGAAUAGCACCUUCCCUGGAGGGCCGCGGUAUUUCGCCCCCCAUUUAUGGAUGUGGACACUGAGGCUGAGAAUGGUUAAGGGAUUGGGCCCAGGUCCCAGCGCUGGUCCUGCCGGACUUGGGACUCGAGCUUGGUCUUCCGACACUCACACUCCUGUUUGUCAUCGCUGCUCGGUGUGUGUGAUGGCCUCCUUCCUCCCCCAAGGCGACCAGAUGUUCAGCAGCUUUGUACCCAGGGACUUGGGGAGCAGAGGGCAUGGGAACAUUGUCCCUCAGUGGGGCACUGCCCCGGCGCCUUCGCCAGCCCAGCGGGUGGCCGAGCGUGUUCUUGUUUGGGUCCUGACUGGUUGAAGCUUGUUUGUCAGGACCUUGUCAGCAUGGGGCUGCGGGGAGGAGGGCACCUGUCUCUGGCCUGGUUGUUUACUCCGGGCUCUGCAAGCCCAAGGGGGCCGCGUUUGCUGCUUCCUACACGGCUCAGGGUCAUCUCCCUGUAGGAGGGAGCCGCAAAAGGAUUGGCCGGGGGCGCAGGCGUCUUUGUGUUUAAAACGAGGCCAAAGCUGUCGCCAACUCACGCAGACAGACGCAGAGGUUUGACUGAAAUCAGGCAGGUGACAUCAGCUGCCCGAGCCCCCUGCUGCCUCCCCCAGUCCCCGCGUCUGACUUCAGGUUCGCCUCUGCUCUGUCUCAUGCAGCCCCUGCAAACUGAUAAGCCAGAAGUCUGCCCUCCGAGGCUGCAUGAAUAAUAGAACUGAAAUCAUCCUUGGUUAAAAAUAGAUAUUCUUCUUAAUAAAUAUUUUACAUACUGUCUUUAGGAUAUACAGAUCCCCCGACUGAAGACUUGAAACAAUCCCUGUUACCGAACCCAAAGAAUAUAGGAGAGGCUCAGCCCCGGCUCUGCCUGUACGUUCCUGCAGCCACAGCUCCCGCCUCGGAUCUCACUCGGUGACGUCCGAUGAAAACAUCCCACACACGGGUGACACAGAGCUGCCUCCAGGGGCUGCCUGGGAAUUUGUGGGCAUGUUAGUCACCUAUGAAUUUUAUGGAGGCAAGUCAGUUAUAACGUGUCCCUUGGUUAGUGAGUUCAGAAAAGCCUCGGAGUUCAGAAAAGGCAAAAGUAGGUUCUCGUGUUCCUGCUGUGCAGGACUCCCCCCAGGACUAGACACCGGGGUGUCUGGGGGAAGUCAUGGGGAGCGAGAGAACAUUCUGGGUGGGGAGGCAGAAAUGGUUGGGUUUUAAAACACUGGCCCAUUUCAGAAAACUUUGCAAAUGCGGUACAACCUUGAAGGUCUGCACUAAUUAGGACACGGCAUGAUCUAGAUACAGCAAAUGAAUCUGAAUAAGCUACAGGAAUGAUCCCAACCUUGACCACCUGCCCCCUCGUAUGAGCUUCCCCCGAAGACGGGGCGGGUGAGAGAUGCUGGGGUCCGCCCAGCACCUAGACCGUUCCAAAGUGAGCCACAUGAUGCAGACCCCAAGAGAAUGGGUGGCAUGUCCUUAUUUGACAGGGCAGGACUCUGGAUAUGGGAAAGCACAGUGUGCUGAGACCGGUGCAGGUGAGCCAGGGGCCCACAUCUCUGUGUGGAGCACCUCCACAGGCCAUCUGAUUUCCCUGGACGGAGCACAGGGGCCCUUCCCUUGAGGCCCACUGUCUGGAGGAAAGGGCACGUUCUCUCUUGUGCCCUCCAUACCUUGAGGACAUUUUGGUUUAGCACCCAGCACCCUGCAUGGCAUGUAGGGUUCCAGGUCUGUCUCACUUCAGAGAGUGAGUUCCUUAAGCACCUGACUUAAAGUUUGACACAUGUUGUUGCAUGGAUGGGUGGGUGGAUGAUGAAUGGAAGGAUGGAUGAUGGAUGGAUGGGUGGAUGAAUGGUUGGGUGAAUGGAUGGGUGGGUAGAUGAGUGGAUGACUAGAUGGCUGGGUGGAUGGAUGGAUGGAUGGAUGAUGAAUGGAUGGAUGGAUUGAUAGAUGGAUGGAUGGUUGAUGGAUGGAUUGUGGAUGGGUGGGUGGAUGGAUGGAUGGAUGGAUGGAUAGAUAAUUGGGUGGGUGGAUGGAUAGUUGGGUGGAUGGGUGGAUGAAUGGAUGGGUGGGUAGAUAAUUGGGUGGGUGGAUGGACAGAUGAUGGAUGGAUGGAUGGAUGGUUGAUGGAUGGAUGGUGGAUGGGUGAUGAAUGGAUGGAUGGAUAAUGAAUGGAUAGAUGGAUGGCUGGCUGGAUGGAUGGAUAGUUGGGUGGAUGGGUAGGUGAAUGGAUGGGUGGGUGGAUGGGUGGAUGCAUGGAUGAAUGGGUGGGUGGUGGACAGAUGGAUGGGUGGAUGGAUGGAUAGAAAAUUGGGUGGGUGAAUGGAUGGAUGGGUGGAUAGAUAAUUGAGUAGGUGGAUGGACGGAUGAUGGAUGGAUGGAUGGAUGGGUAGUUGGGUGGAUGGGUAGGUGAAUGGAUGGGUGGGUGGAUGGGUGGAUGAAUGGAUGAAUGGGUGGGUGGUGGACAGAUGGAUGGGUGGAUGGAUGGAUAGAAAAUUGGGUGGGUGAAUGGAUGGAUGGGUGGAUAGAUGGAUGGAUGGAUGGUUGAUGGAUGGAUGGUGGAUGGGUGGGUGGAUGGAUGGAUGAUGAAUGGAUGGAUGGAUGGAUAGAUGGAUGGAUGGAUGGAUGGUUGAUGGAUGGUGGAUGGGUGGGUGGAUGGAUGGGUGGAUAGAUAAUUGAGUGGGUGGAUGGACGGAUGAUGGAUGGAUGGAUGGAUGGAUGGAUGGAUAGUUGGGUGGAUGGGUAGGUGAAUGGAUGGGUGGGUGGAUGGGUGGAUGAAUGGAUGAAUGGGUGGGUGGUGGACAGAUGGAUGGGUGGAUGGAUGGAUAGAAAAUUGGGUGGGUGAAUGGAUGGAUGGGUGGGUGGGUGAAAAAAGGAACAUUAUAUCAGAUUCCAAAGCAAAUUGAUCACAGAAUAAAAAUGGGAGCCCAGUCACCUAUGUUUUUGCAGGGCUGGUCAUAUAGGUGGUAAUGUGCUUUGAUUCUCCUCCUCUAUCUGUUGCUUCCCACUUCCUGACUGGAAAGGCAGGGCUUGGUGAGCAGGGGGAGGGAGUGGGAUGGGUCCAGACCUUGGGAGCAUGGAAAGUGAAAGAUCGGGGCACCUGGGUGGCUCAGUAGUUUAACAUCGACUCUUGAUUUUGGCUCGGGUCAUGCAUGACCUCACAGUUCUAUGAGUUUGGGCCCCACAUCGGACUCUGCCGUGCUGGUGGUGUGGAGCCUGCUUGGGAUUCUCUCUCUCCCUCUCUCUCUCUGCUCCUCCCCUGCUCGCUCGCCCUCUCUCUUUCUCAAAAUAAAUAAAUAAACUUAAAAAAAAAAAAAGAAGGAGAAAGAUAAAGGACCAGACGCUGGCUCUCUCCUGUGUGGCCCUCCCGGGGAACCUGGGCGCAUGGGCCGCAUGCUGCUGUCAGGAAGCCAGUGGCACUUUAGGACGCUUUGAUGUUUCCCGGUGUUCUUUGAGCAAAACUGGUGCUUGAAAGUCAGGCAAUCGGAACUCAGCACCCACUCAGGCUCCCAAGAGUCUAAGUAUUGUGGGAAACGCAAAGGGAGUUAGCAAAUUAAAAAUGAAGAAACCCUAUUCUUUCCAUAGAAGGGGUAUUUAAGAUGACUUUGUGCCGCUAUACCUGUACUUGUUUCGCAUUUCGUAUUUUGGAAGGUGGAGGGGAAGAAAAUCGCAAAAUGUUUUCCUUUCUCUGUGAUUGCAUAUGCUCCUAAAAUAUUAAACUAUUGCUGAAUAAUUGAUUAAAACUAACCUCAGUGGGAGCCAAUCACCCAUUUGGCAGGAUCUCUUUAAACUUUUAGGGGCUUUUAGCUUCCUCUGGCCGCCUAACCUUUUUCUUGUCUCAUUCAUUCAGGGCUCAGCAGACACUGUGCCUCUUGAGCAGCUAGGCUAUCACGAUGCCUCUGUCGAGUGGAGGGAUGAACGGCCAGGCUGCGUUCAGGAAAAGAAAGGUCCUGGGACACUGUCAGACAAGGAAGCAAAGGGAGGGGGAAGGUCUGCCAAUAAUCGUGCCUCGGUUUCUAAGUCACAGAAUGGGCGUCAGAGAUAACAGCGAUGUGACCUUCAGAGCCACUUGAGUUGCCCGAGACUUGGGUUUUUCCCCAGAAUGACAAUGAUGUCUGCCUCCGGUUUUACACGGGACACAAAAAUCAUCGGGCAAAGUGCUUUUGGAACGUGGGCUCAGGCGUCAGACUACCGGGCUUCCACCUUCCUCAGGAGGCUGAACGCAUGACCUUGGACGAGUUCAUCAUUCUCUCUAGGCCUCAGUUUCCCCACCUAUAAAAUGGAGACGGUCCUAGAAAUCCCGGGCUGAGCAGAUUAGGUAGGACCGUCUCAGCAUCAGCCAGGGCAGGGAAGGCCUCCUCCAUGGUCACUCUGCUCAGUAAGAACUCAGGGAGACUCUGAUUGGACUUCUCUGUGGGAAGAGUAGUUACGGGAAAUGCAAAGUCCCCCAGAAUGAGCACAGUCCUUUAAAAAAAUUUUUUUUUAACAUUUUAUUUAUUUUUAAAUUUUUUUUUCUACGUUUAUUUAUUUUUGGGACAGAGAGAGACAGAGCAU
rnacentral:lncRNA from 1 species